ensembl:lncRNA
GAGGAGUAGGGGUCCAUGAAUUUCUGCUUCUGAAAUGGGACAAGGUCUUAGGCCCCUCAAAAUGUCUUGGAUCCUGAGAGCUAUUUUCCUGUAAAGGCUUUGUGCGACCUGGGUGCUGGGUUUUUCUUAGCUUCCUAUGGACUUUGAUUACUGGGCUAAGAUUGCUAUUUUCCACAGAUAUUUUACAGUACCACCCUUCUGUUCCCUACUUCCCUUAUUUAUGAGACAGCCUUAACAGUUCUCUAUUUAUUACAGCUUUAAGCAUCUAACAUUGUCAUUGUCUCCUGGGUUGCUAUAGCAUAUUAUAUUUUUCAAAAUGUUUUAAUGUGCAUUAUCUAGUUUCAUAAGGAACUCUGGCUUCCCAGGUGGUACAGUGGUAAAGAAUCCACCUGCCAAUGCAGGAGACGCAAGAGACCUGGGUUUGAUCCCUGGGUCAGGAAGAUUCCCUGGAGAAGGAAAUGGCAACCCACUCCAGUAUUCUUGCCUGGAAAAUUCCAUGGACAGAGGAACCUGACGGGCUACAGUCCAUGGGGUUGCAAAGAGUUGGACUGAGCACAAACGCAUGAUCUAAUUUAAUAAUAAGGAUGCUGUUUAGGAGAUUAUGUGUUUCCAUGCCUGCUAAUCCAGGAAUUCAAGGCGGAAGGCAACACUGGCCAGCGCCCAGAUGCUGGUGCUGCUGGAGUCAGGAAAGGCAGAGCUGCUGGGAGAAGUGAGCGACUCCAGAAGGGCCAGAGUGUUCCCUUUGCAGCUGCUUUUGGACAUUUCACUACCACCACCACCUUGAGAAAGCUAUCAUGGAUGUUGCCUUGCUGGGCCUGCAUUGCUGGGUCUUCAGCCUAUUGCCCAGUUUCAUUUCUUUGUGCAUCUUUAUGGCUUUGGGGAAAGAACACAGGAUGAGAAGCCAGGUUCUCUCACUGGAGGCUUCCAAGCAGUUCAUUUCCUGUCAGGGGUAAACAUGCAGAUACGGGGUGAUCCCUGACUCUUCCAGCAUUAACAUCAUGAGAUACCUUGUAUCCCAUGGCAGUCAAUGAAUGUAGGCUUAUGGCUGUUGUUUUCACUUGAUGAUGGUACCAGUCCAUCUGCUUGGUACAGUGGCAGCAUUUAGGCAAAAGCAUUCAUCACAGAUGAGAUGUUUCUAGCCUUUAACUACCUCACAGCUUGGGCUCAGAAGAAUCCUAAGGUCUGUGAAUUUACCCUCGCACAGUGAGGGAGCUGGGAAGAGAUCACUUCUGAAUGAAGGCAGAGGAUCCUUUUCUGUCUGGAUUGCAAGAAUAAUGAAGACCGUCCAGGAAGGAAUAAAGUGGUUGAGGAAAGUGGACAUGCUGGAAGGGCUCUAUGUAAGCCAAAAGACCCAACUAGAGAAUGCAUCCCACGAGAGGAUAUACCAGUCCCCAAACCAUUGAAAUGCACUGAUGAGAGGGACACCAGCAUCACUAAGAAGUUGUGCAGGCUGGGGAUGAUGGAAGGAGAAAUGCUUACAAACUGAGCUUGUUAGCAUCUGCAGAAGUGAUAUAGGCCAGGAGGUGGCGCUUACCUGCCAGAAGCCAGGAGGCCAUAAUUACCUCACUCUUCAAAAGAUCCUCAACCAGCCCUUCUAUCUGGAGGCUUACCGAAUGUCUGAUCCACAGGAAUGGAAUCCCAUACAGCAGAGCAUCCAAGCAGGGGCUGUACUUCAGAUGCAGCUGGUGUGGAACCAGGGGCCCUCUGGCUGUGUCAUGUACUGCACCACCCAGAGAGAAAAGACACAGAUGAAGUAGUGGAAGAAUUGCUACCUGCUCCUGGGAUCAGGAAGGCCUCAGAUCCUCACACGCUCUGCGACUCCUGAGUUUUUCACUGAAUGCUAUUUUCCAUGUGCUUAUCAAAUGUGAGCGAGACCCCUUUGGAUGGAGAGUCUGAGCCUGCCCAAGCCAUGCCUACAUUCUCCAGCACUCUAAUGUACGUGUAUUUGGCAGAAGUCUUUGUUGCUCUAAGGCAGAGUAUUUUUACUAUCACACCACCUUGCUUAUAUAAGUACAAAACAAUAUAUAAUAAGAUCUAAUAUUUAC